GAUGAACGCUAGCUACAGGCUUAACACAUGCAAGUCGAGGGGCAGCAUGGUCUUAGCUUGCUAAGGCCGAUGGCGACCGGCGCACGGGUGAGUAACACGUAUCCAACCUGCCGUCUACUCUUGGACAGCCUUCUGAAAGGAAGAUUAAUACAAGAUGGCAUCAUGAGUUCACAUGUUCACAUGAUUAAAGGUAUUCCGGUAGACGAUGGGGAUGCGUUCCAUUAGAUAGUAGGCGGGGUAACGGCCCACCUAGUCUUCGAUGGAUAGGGGUUCUGAGAGGAAGGUCCCCCACAUUGGAACUGAGACACGGUCCAAACUACUACGGGAGGCAGCAGUGAGGAAUAUUGGUCAAUGGGCGAGAGCCUGAACCAGCCAAGUAGCGUGAAGGAUGACUGCCCUAUGGGUUGUAAACUUCUUUUAUAAAGGAAUAAAGUCGGGUAUGUAUACCCGUUUGCAUGUACUUUAUGAAUAAGGAUCGGCUAACUCCGUG
rnacentral:rRNA from 1 species